rnacentral:rRNA from 1 species
GAUGAACGCUGGCGGCGUGCCUAAUACAUGCAAGUCGAGCGAACAGACGAGGAGCUUGCUCCUCUGACGUUAGCGGCGGACGGGUGAGUAACACGUGGAUAACCUACCUAUAAGACUGGGAUAACUUCGGGAAACCGGAGCUAAUACCGGAUAAUCUAUUGAACCGCAUGGUUGAAUAGUGAAAGACGGUUUUGCUGUCACUUAUAGAUGGAUCCGCGCCGCAUUAGCUAGUUGUUAAGGUAACGGCUUACCAAGGCGACGAUGCGUAGCCGACCUGAGAGGGGGAUCGGCGACACUGGAACGGAGACACGGUCCAGACUCCUACGGGAGGCAGCAGUAGGGAAUCUUCCGCAAUGGGCGAAAGCCUGACGGAGCAACGCCGCGUGAGUGAUGAAGGUCUUCGGAUCGUAAAACUCUGUUAUUAGGGAAGAACAAAUGUGUAAGUAACUAUGCACGUCUUGACGGUACCGAAUCAGAAAGCCACGGCUAACUACGUG